GCCUUCGCGGUGUAGUGGUCAGUACGCUCGACGCGUAACCCAGAGGUCCGUGGUUCGAUUCCCGGCGACGGCA
rnacentral:tRNA from 1 species